rnacentral:rRNA from 1 species
UACGAAGGACCCGAGCGUUAUCCGGAUUUAUUGGGUUUAAAGGGUGCGUAGGCGUCCUGGAAAGUUACGGUUGAAAUCUCCUUGCUUAACAAGGAAACUGGCCGUAAAACUAUCAGGAUUGAGUACAUUUGAAGCGGGCGGAAUGUGUCAUGUAGCGGUGAAAUGCUUAGAUAUGACACAGAACACCAAUUGCGAAGGCAGCUCGCUAAACUGUAACUGACGCUGAGGCACGAAAGCGUGGGGAGCAAACAGG